rnacentral:tRNA from 1 species
GGAGANAUGACUCAGCAGUUAAGAGCACUGGCUGCUACUCCAGAGAACCUGGGUUCAAUUCCCAGCAUCAACA